rnacentral:rRNA from 1 species
CCUACGGGGGGCUGCAGUGGGGAAUAUUGGACAAUGGGGGCAACCCUGAUCCAGCCAUGCCGCGUGUGUGAAGAAGGCCCUCGGGUUGUAAAGCACUUUCAGUGAGGAAGAACGCCUGGUGGUUAAUACCCAUCAGGAAAGACAUCACUCACAGAAGAAGCACCGGCUAACUCCGUGCCAGCAGCCGCGGUAAUACGGAGGGUGCGAGCGUUAAUCGGAAUUACUGGGCGUAAAGCGCGCGUAGGUGGCUUGAUAAGCCGGUUGUGAAAGCCCCGGGCUCAACCUGGGAACGGCAUCCGGAACUGUCAAGCUAGAGUGCAGGAGAGGAAGGUAGAAUUCCCGGUGUAGCGGUGAAAUGCGUAGAGAUCGGGCGGAAUACCAGUGGCGAAGGCGGCCUUCUGGACUGACACUGACACUGAGGUGCGAAAGCGUGGGUAGCAAACAGGAUUAGAUACCCCUGUAGUC